ACCUCUUGCCAAUCUUGCCUGAUCUCGGAAGCUAAGCAGGGUUAGGUCUGAUUGGUACUUGGAUGGGAGACCACCUGGGAAUGCCAGGCACAGUAGGCA
rnacentral:rRNA from 1 species